AUUGAACGCUGGCGGCAUGCUUUACACAUGCAAGUCGAACGGUAACAGGUUAAGCUGACGAGUGGCGAACGGGUGAGUAAUGCAUCGGAACGUGCCCGGUCGUGGGGGAUAACGCAGCGAAAGCUGCGCUAAUACCGCAUACGAUCUGAGGAUGAAAGCGGGGGACCGUAAGGCCUCGCGCGAUCGCGUCGGCCGAUGUCAGAUUAGGUAGUUGGUGGGGUAAAGGCUCACCAAGCCAACGAUCUGUAGCUGGUCUGAGAGGACGACCAGCCACACUGGGACUGAGACACGGCCCAGACUCCUACGGGAGGCAGCAGUGGGGAAUUUUGGACAAUGGGCGAAAGCCUGAUCCAGCAAUGCCGCGUGCAGGAAGAAGGCCUUCGGGUUGUAAACUGCUUUUGUACGGAGCGAAAAGGUCUCCUCUAAUACAGGGGGCUCAUGACGGUACCGUAAGAAUAAGCACCGGCUAACUACGUGCCAGCCGCCGCGGUAA
rnacentral:rRNA from 1 species